rnacentral:rRNA from 1 species
AAGAUGGCGACCGGCGCACGGGUGAGUAACACGUAUCCAACCUGCCGAUGACUCGGGGAUAGCCUCUCGAAAGAAAGAUUAAUACCCGAUGGCAUAGUUCUUCCGCAUGGUAGAACUAUUAAAGAAUUUCGGUCAUCGAUGGGGAUGCGUUCCAUUAGGUUGUUGGCGGGGUAACGGCCCACCAAGCCUUCGAUGGAUAGGGGUUCUGAGAGGAAGGUCCCCCACAUUGGAACUGAGACACGGUCCAAACUCCUACGGGAGGCAGCAUG